GACGGGGCCCGCACAAGCGGUGGAGCAUGUGGUUUAAUUCGAAGCAGCGCGAAGAACCUUACCAGGUCUUGACAUCCCGAUGCUAUUUCUAGAGAUAGAAAGUUACUUCGGUACAUCGGUGACAGGUGGUGCAUGGUUGUCGUCAGCUCGUGUCGUGAGAUGUUGAGUUAAGUCCCGCAACGAGCGCAACCCCUAUUGUUAGUUGCCAUCAUUCAGUUGGGCACUCUAGCGAGACUGCCGGUAAUAAACCGGAGGAAGGUGGGGAUGACGUCAAAUCAUCAUGCCCCUUAUGACCUGGGCUACACACGUGCUACAAUGGUUGGUACAACGAGUUGCGAGUCGGUGACGGCGAGCUAAUCUCUUAAAGCCAAUCUCAGUUCGGAUUGUAGGCUGCAACUCGCCUACAUGAAGUCGGAAUCGCUAGUAAUCGCGGAUCAGCACGCCGCGGUGAAUACGUUCCCGGGCCUU
rnacentral:rRNA from 1 species